GGCGAGUGAAGCGGCAACAGCUCAAAUUUGAAAUCUGGCUCUUUCAGGGUCCGAGUUGUAAUUUGUAGAGGGUGCUUUGGCGUCGGCUGCGGUCUAAGUUCCUUGGAACAGGACGUCACAGAGGGUGAGAAUCCCGUACGUGGCUGCUAGUCUUCGCCGUGUAAAGCCCCUUCGACGAGUCGAGUUGUUUGGGAAUGCAGCUCUAAAUGGGAGGUAAAUUUCUUCUAAAGCUAAAUAUUGGCCAGAGACCGAUAGCGCACAAGUAGAGUGAUCGAAAGAUGAAAAGCACUUUGGAAAGAGAGUCAAAAAGCACGUGAAAUUGUUGAAAGGGAAGCGCUUGCAGCCAGACUUGCCUGUAGUUGCUCAUCGGGACCCCGUCCCGUGCACUCUUCUGCAGGCGGGCCAGCAUCAGUUCAGGCGGCCGGACAAAGACCUCUAUCACGUAUCUUCCUUCGGGAUGACCUUAUAGGGGAGGUGUAAUGCGGCCAGCCUGGAUUGAGGUCCGCGCAUCUGCUAGGAUGCUGGCGUAAUGGCUGUAAGCGGCCCGUCUUGAAACACGGACCAAGGAGUCUAACAUCUAUGCGAGUGUUUGGGUGUCAAGCCCGGGCGCGCAAUGAAAGUGAACGGAGGUGGGAACCCCUCGGGGCGCACCAUCGACCGAUCCUGAUGUCUUCGGAUGGAUUUGAGUAAGAGCAUAGCUGUUGGGACCCGAAAGAUGGUGAACUAUGCCUGAAUAGGGUGAAGCCAGAGGAAACUCUGGUGGAGGCUCGCAGCGGUUCUGACGUGCAAAUCGAUCGUCAAAUUUGGGCAUAGGGGCGAAAGACUAAUCG
rnacentral:rRNA from 1 species